CCUACGGGGUGCUGCAGUGGGGAAUAUUGCACAAUGGGCGAAAGCCUGAUGCAGCGAGGCCGCGUGAGCGAAGAAGGCCUUCGGGUCGUAAAGCUCUGUCCUAUGGGAAGAAAGAUGACGGUACCAUAGGAGGAAGCACCGGCUAACUACGUGCCAGCAGCCGCGGUAAUACGUAGGGGGCGAGCGUUGUCCGGAAUGACCGGGCGUAAAGGGUACGUAGGCGGAUGGAUAAGUCAGAUGUGAAAGGCAUAGGCUUAACCUGUGUAAGCAUUUGAAACUGUCUAGCUUGAGUACAGGAGAGGACAGUGGACCUUGGGGUGUAGCGGUGAAGUGCGUAGAUAUCAGCAGGAAUACCAGGGGUGAAGUCGCCUUUCUGGACUUAGACUGCCGCUGAGGUACGAAAGCGUGGGGAGGCAACAGGAUUAGAUACCCCGGUAGUC
rnacentral:rRNA from 1 species